CUGGGUCGGGUCACCGCGCGGGUUGAAGAGGGCCUAAACGGCGCCGUUCUAUUUUUAAUAUAAAAAGUAAAAAAACCCAAAACCAUCAGAUUUUCAUUUUUACAAAAAAAAGAAAGAGAGGGAGAGAGAUGCUCUCCCUGGCCACGCAUCCGGCUUGGGCAUCCGGCGAGCCUCCGCCGUAGCGCCACCGUGUGUGGCGGCCGGAGGCUCAAAAUCGGACCUUUUUUGGUCCCCUUUGUAGCCCACUGCUUCUAGGCCAGGAAUAUGGGGCCGAAACUCGUCAAAAGGGAUACCAAAAACUCGAAAACGAGCCGACACCCUUCGACUUCUCCCCCUCCGACGUGGUGCAGGAAAAAAGGUGACGGCGCAAGUGGACGUGGCGGUGAUGGAUGUCCGGCAACGUCAGAACGCCAAAGGUCAAAAGGCUAAGGAGGAGGGCGGCGCCUAGGGUUUCAGUCUCUGAAACCCUAGGCAGAUAUUUUUUUAGGAGUUGGGCUCCGGAUUCGGGCCUUGGGUUUGGUUUAAUUGUUUUGGGCUGAGGGUUAAUGGAUGUUGUAAUUGGGUAGCUGGGAUUUGGGUUUAGUUUAGGAGAGUUAAUUGAUUUUGGGUUCUUGGGCCCAGGUCUGGGCAAAAUUGGGUUAUACAAAUUUUCUUUUAAAAAAAAAAAUUAUUAGGUGUCCGAUCACACCUAGAAAAAAGAUCGGUGGCGACUCCCUUUUUAAAUAAAAUUGAAACUCCGUUUUUAAAUUUUCAA